UAUCUCUGUAGAGUCUGCAUAUCAAUAAGCGGAGGAAAAGAAACUAACUAGGAUUCCCUUAGUAACGGCGAGUGAAGCGGGAAGAGCUCAAAUUUGAAAUCUUCAAGGUUUUACCUUGACGAAUUGUAGUUUAAAGAAGUGUUUUCUGUUGAAGUUUUGGUAAAAGUUCUUUGGAAUAGGACAUCAUAGAGGGAUGAGAAUCCCGUAUUUGACCAUUAUUUUCAGCUGUGUGAUACACUUUCAAAGAGUCGGAUUGUUUGGGAAUGCAGUCCAAAAUGGGUGGUAAAUUUCAUCUAAAGCUAAAUAUUGGCGAGAGACCGAUAGCGAACAAGUACCGUGAGGGAAAGAUGAAAAGAACUUUGAAAAGAGAGUUAAACAGUACGUGAAAUUGUCAAAAGGGAAGCGUUUGACACCAGUGUUGUUUUCUCGAAAAUCAAUUAAAAAAGGCCGGAUUUUGUGUUGUAUUGACCUUAAAAGCUUUCUUCACUCUUUUCUUGUCUUUUUUAAUGCACUUUUCGUUUAACAAGUCAACAUCAGUUUCUUUUGUUGUAAAAGGGUCAUUGGAAGGUGGCUUUCUUUUCGGAGAAAGUGUUUAUAGCCUUUGAUCUCUGCAACCGGAGAGACUGAGGUCUGCAGCGUAGACUCUUCGGGGUUAGAUACAUUUGUGCUAAGCUAUAGCUUUUUAUAGACAACUUGUUGACUAUAUUUAGUCUUGUGGCUUACUCGCUUAUGCUAUUUUACCUACGCUUAGGAUGUUGAUGUGAUACUGCGAGCA
rnacentral:rRNA from 1 species